rnacentral:rRNA from 1 species
UACGGAGGGUGCAAGCGUUAUCCGGAUUCACUGGGUUUAAAGGGUGCGUAGGUGGGUUGGUAAGUCAGUGGUGAAAUCUCCGAGCUUAACUUGGAAACUGCCGUUGAUACUAUCAAUCUUGAAUAUCGCGUAGGUAAGCGGAAUAUGUCAUGUAGCGGUGAAAUGCUUAGAUAUGACAUAGAACACCAAUUGCGAAGGCAGCUUACUUCACGAUCAUUGACACUGAGGCACGAAAGCGUGGGGAGAAAACAGG